rnacentral:lncRNA from 13 species
AUGGUUCCCCGGCAAAGGCCUCGCCAGCCUGAGUGCCACCGCGUGUCCCGCAGAGCCCACCUCGGUGUCGCGCUGUGCGUCCCCAGGGUGAGACCGGUACCAGCCUUGCGCGACCCGGCCGAGGCCUCUCCGCAGCCGCAAGAUCCAAUCCUCUUGCCCUGCAGGCCUUUAGUCCCGGCAAUGCGGGCACCCCUGGGAAAGGGCCGCCGCUUGGGGAGGGUCCUCCGGUCUCUGGGGAAAUGUCCCUAUUCCUGGGGACGUGGGCGCGCAUCGGGUCCGCGCCGGGCGACGUCGCGCUCGCGCCCAGCAGGCCCCAUGACUUGGCAUUCCCUCCGUCCCCUCCCCCACGCCCCUGAGGCCGGCAGGGCCCCCCCCAACCCCACCUACCCACGCACACGGUCUCGCGCCUCGCGCCGGGUGCCUGCGGACCCUGCCUCCCGGCGGGGAUGCUGCCCCGGCCCUUCCCCAGCGGAAGGCUGUGCCCCGGGUUUGGGGGAAGUCGGCGUGAGGUGCAGCUUAAAGCGGGAGUGCGAAGGUCUCCGCGGCCACUGUCCGCUCGUGUCACCCGAGCCCGGGCGCCGUGAGCUUGGACGCCGCAGCCCCUCCCCCGCCCCGGGCCACACCUGUUACCGGGCGCUGGCUGCUGAGACGCAGGCGGUGCGCGCCGGCGGCCCCUCCCGAUGCUGGGUCUUUCUGGAAGGGAGCUGGGGUCUCCGGGGAGGGGACGCGGAGGGGGAGGGGCUGAUGGGCAGCCCGGCGGUGCGACAAAGCGGGUGGCCGGGCCCCAGCGCCGCAGCCCCUGCCCCGCCUGCCUGUUUUGCUCCCGGCUCCAGUAUCCGCCCUCCCCCACGCCGGGGACCAGAGCAGCUGCCCGCGCCCGGCUGCCCUGCGCGCUCUCACCCUCCCAGGUGCCGCGUCCGCGUCCUCAGCCCGGUUCUCCAUCCCUCCCCUCCCCUCCCCCGCCGUCUGGGCGCCUCCCCGCCGACGGCUCCUCUCCGGGGGAGCGGGUUAGCCUGGGAAGGGCGGGGGUCCCCGGAUCCCGCAGGCAGGGCGCGCCCUCCCCAAGGCGAUCCCCGCCCCCCUGAGCCCAGGGCCCGGCUGCAGUGGCGAUCGCGGCGAAAGAGCCUUUCCGAGCGGCGCCUGAAGGGCGGACACCCCAGAAUUUCGCCAUUGUUCUCUGCGGGGAUGGAGGACGGUCGGGAAGGGAAGGAGCCUCGCGGUGCCCGCGCUUCCGGCCGCAAUGAGGGCGCCGGCCCGAGCUCCCCGCCCCGGGCGCAGUGGGUGCAGGUGAGGGCUGCGGGCGCAGGCGAGGGGCGAGGGCGCGGGAGGCCGGGCGGGCGGCGGCGGCCUUACCUCUCCGGCGUCACUGGCGGCCGCCCCGCAUGGGCACCGGCAGGGCGCGGGCUCCUGAGCCCGGAGCUGCUGCCGCUCGCCGGCUGCUCUGCGCUGUGA